CCUACGGGUGGCUGCAGUGGGGAAUAUUGCACAAUGGGCGCAAGCCUGAUGCAGCCCUGCCGCGUGUGUGAAGAAGGCCUUCGGGUUGUAAAGCACUUUCAGCGGGGAGGAAGGCGUUAAGGUUAAUAACCUUGGCGAUUGACGUUACCCGCAGAAGAAGCACCGGCUAACUCCGUGCCAGCAGCCGCGGUAAUACGGAGGGUGCAAGCGUUAAUCGGAAUUACUGGGCGUAAAGCGCACGCAGGCGGUCUGUCAAGUCGGAUGUGAAAUCCCCGGGCUCAACCUGGGAACUGCAUUCGAAACUGGCAGGCUAGAGUCUUGUAGAGGGGGGUAGAAUUCCAGGUGUAGCGGUGAAAUGCGUAGAGAUCUGGAGGAAUACCGGUGGCGAAGGCGGCCCCCUGGACAAAGACUGACGCUCAGGUGCGAAAGCGUGGGGAGCAAACAGGAUUAGAUACCCUAGUAGUC
rnacentral:rRNA from 1 species